GUACCCCUACCACAAUUAAACAAACAAACAAAAAAUCCUUUGGGGAUUCCCAGCUGGCUCGGUGGAUAAGCAUGUGACUCUUGAGCUCAGCGUCCUGAGCUCAGUCUCCACACUGGGUGUGGAGCCUGCUGAAAAAUAAACAAAUAAGGAAGUCCAUCUGUCCUUCGGUGUCCCUGCCACUGGAAAUUUCUCACUGGAAUUCAUGCCAGGCUGUGGCUCCUGCCAUCUUGUUUUGUGCCCCCACCCACUUCAUUUCAUUUCUCUGACCUUCCCUGUCUUCUCUCUCCUUGGGGUCCCUUUUCCCUAAGCUCCCGUUAUGACGCUGGUAAAGCCGUUGAGUCCCUCAUGUAUUUAUUUAACCACGUCCCUUCAACCAUGUCCCGGGCACCGCCCUCCCCUUCCUCGACCAAAGUGGCUCAUCAAGAUGUUUUCCUAAACAAAACUGUUCUCACCCUGCUAAAUGCAUGGAAAACAUGCCAUCUGCUGUAUACGCUGGUCUCCUGAGACAUUGAGGAGUCCAAGCCCGCAGCUGAGACUCAGAGCUCCUCUCCACCAGCUGCCAGGCUGAGGCUCGACCCCGGGGUCCCAGGAGUGAAUUUGUCAGAGUAAAGGCCGCUUUGGGCAGCCUCUUGGCAGCCUGCCGACAGCCCCUCCCCGAGCCACUCCGUCUCAAGCCUCAGAUGUGCGGGCCCGAGGAGAAAACAGAGGAUGACAGCAAGGACCGCUCGCCAAGCCGAGAUGAGAAAAAUUAAACACGAAAAGAAAACGUCUGAGCUGGGGUCUGAAUCACCGAGCGCAGCCAAGCGUGGGUCCGGAAUCUGGUCUCCUAACCACCACUCCAUGCUGCCACCACUAUAGGGCUCCGCUCCCUUGAAAAAUUCCACCUGCUAUAGCUAACCUCUGUUUGACACAAGAGAAACUGAAGCCCGUCCAGGUUUCGCCGUGCCUCAGUGAGGCCCUGGAGCCUCACCAGCUCCAGGAAGCCCCCUCUGAUUACUCCAGAGUGAGGAAAAGGAUCUAGUCGGCCCCAUAUACGGUUAUAUCCCCAGCGCCUAAUACUAUGCCUGGCACUAGUGGGGUCUCAAGAGCAAGAGGGAAGUUUUGGACGAUGGCGUCUUCCUCGGACGGUCCCAGGAGUGUGGCUGUUUUGAAAAAUCAGGCGUUCCUGCCAGAGGCGCUUCAGGCUUUCAACAGUCCUCUUAGGAAUGGAAGACAGCCCCUGAAUAGAAAUAAAGGAAGGGGAAGAGUGCUUAUGAAGUGCGUGAUCGGUGUUUUCAGUCGGAUCACUCAGGGGGACGUCCCGCAGGUACAAUCGGAGUCAGCCGCUGGGGGGGUGGGGGGGCGUUCAAAAUAUUAACGUAACAAGGGCUGAUUGGACUUCUUCUAUGAAUGAGGCCCAUCAUUAUCAUCCCCUCGGCCCCCUCUCUCUGGGCAGCGCUCCUCUUUCUCAGGAUCCCAGUGAUUAACGUCACAAGCCCUUCCCGGAGACUGUGCAGCGAGACGCUGGAGGAGAACCGAGAAGUGAGACGUCAGUGAAUCAGAACUCAUUCAAAGCCCCGGAGUUUCCCGGCCGUUACCUUCCACGCCUGGACCUAUGAGUCAGGGUCAUCUCGCCCCCGUUGAGUGUGGUGCAUACAUGCUUCCCUGCCCUGCUCUUCCGGGGGCCCCAUCCCAGCCUUCACGCAUGCACACACACCGCCCCGGCCGGCCGCGUCCCCGGCCGCGUGUCCUGGCGAGGGUGCGGGUGCAGGCGCGCCCGGCUUAUUCACUCACCCCCGGGGGGUGUGCACGGGCCCCUUGGGUGCUGAGCUCAGGCUCUGCACGGCCAGAGACGAACCGAAAAAAGAAAAAUAAAUAUUAGUACUUCCUUUCCCAUAAAUGUUGCAACAGUCUAGCUGUAGCUUAGAGCGUAUAUUUUUUUAAGUCCAUUUAUUUACUUGGGGGGUGGGAGGGGCAGAGCAGGAGAGAGAAAGAAUCCUAAGCAGGCUCCAUGCUCCGUGUGGAGCCCG